rnacentral:rRNA from 1 species
GACGAACGCUGGCGGCGUGCUUAACACAUGCAAGUCGAACGGAAAGGCCCUGCUUUUGUGGGGUGCUCGAGUGGCGAACGGGUGAGUAACACGUGAGUAACCUGCCCUUGACUUUGGGAUAACUUCAGGAAACUGGGGCUAAUACCGGAUAGGAGCUCCUGCUGCAUGGUGGGGGUUGGAAAGUUUCGGCGGUUGGGGAUGGACUCGCGGCUUAUCAGCUUGUUGGUGGGGGAGUGGCUUACCCAGGCUUUGACGGGUAGCCGGCCUGAGAGGGUGGCCGGCCACAUUGGGACUGAGAGACGGCCCAGACUCGUACGGGAGGCAGCAGGGGGGAAUAUUGCACAAUGGGCGGAAGCCGGAUGCAGAGACGCCGCGGUCGGGAUGACGGCUUGCGGGUUGUAAACCGCUGUCGCCUGUGACGAAGCGGGAGUGACGGUAAUGGGUAAAGAAGCACCGGCUAACUACGUG